rnacentral:rRNA from 1 species
CAGCGCCGCGGUAAUACGUAGGUCCCGAGCAUUGUCCGGAUUUAUUGGGCGCAAAGCGAGCGCAGGCGGUUAGAUAAGUCUGAAGUUAAAGGCUGUGGCUUAACCAUAGUACGCUUUGGAAACUGUUUAACUUGAGUGCAGAAGGGGAGAGUGGAAUUCCAUGUGUAGCGGUGAAAUGCGUAGAUAUAUGGAGGAACACCGGUGGCGAAAGCGGCUCUCUGGUCUGUAACUGACGCUGAGGCUCGAAAGCGUGGGGAGCAAACAGGAUUAGAUACCCGUGUAGUCCCUGUCUCUUAUACAC